rnacentral:rRNA from 1 species
UACGAAGGGGGCUAGCGUUGCUCGGAAUCACUGGGCUUAAAGGGCGCGUAGGCGGGCUCGCCAGUCAGGGGUGAAAGCCCACGGCUUAACCGUGGAAGUGCCUCUGAUACUGCGGGUCUCGAGGGAGGUAGGGGCGUGCGGAACUUCCGGUGGAGCGGUGAAAUGCGUAGAUAUCGGAAGGAACACCGGUGGCGAAAGCGGCGCGCUGGACCUCUUCUGACGCUGAGGCGCGAAAGCCAGGGGAGCGAACGGG